UAAUCAAUUCAAAAAAAAAAAAAAAAAACUGACAAUAUAGUAAACUCCUUCAAUUUCUUCAUAAUGUUUAGUAAUUUUAAAACUGUCUUCCUAAAAGUUCUCUUUCCUUAAUCUCCUUGUUUAACCAGAACGAAAUUAAAAAAUCAAGCCAGAUGAUAAGUAAGAGAAGCCGGAGAAAGCAACCCACAGAAAUAAGUAUUCUCCAUACAUACUGUGAAUUGUGACAGUGGAGUGGAGAGCCGAGCAAAUUAACUAAUUAUUAAUAUUUGAAGCUUUGAUCACUUUCUUUGAGCAGCACAUAUUUACUAGAUUUCACAAGAGAUGUAACCACAGAAGAAAGCCUUCCAAUAAUGCCUACAUAUGUGUUUGGUAUGAUGGAAAAUGUUUUCUAGAAAAUAUUUUCUCAUUUUCUGAUGUUUGGUUAUAAAAAGUUAUUGAGAAAUCAUUUUCCCAAGCAACUUAUUUUCCACCAUUUGAGGGAAAAUGACUUCCCUCGUGAACAAAGGGAAGUCAUUUUUCAGAUAAAAAAUUAGAGAAUACAGUUAUACCCCCAUCCCUCUUCUCCAGCACCAACAAGAGCAGAUCACCGUCGUCUCCACAAGCUAAUCGCCGUCGUCUCUAAUUUCAGGGCUUUUUCCCCACUGCAAUAAUUUCAAAGGAUGUGCAAGUAACCAAAGCUUCUCAAAUCAAGGCAAGUCGCAAAAGAAAACGUUUUUUUGAGGUGGAAGAUAUCGUAGGUGAUAUAUCAAUAAAGUUUGGGGAAGUGGCAACGGCAAUCGGUAGAAUGGUUGAUAGUCGUCUAGAUGUGACAAAGUUGUAUGAAAAAGUUAUCGCAAUGGAAGGUUAUAAUGAAGAGUUCCUCGGUGAUGCUUUUGAUUAUUUGGUGCAAAGCGACACUUUAGCUAAGGUAUUCAUGGUCAAAAAUCAAAAUCUUCGUAAGGUGUGGUUUGAACGAUUCAAGCAACAAUAAUAGUGACACCUAUUGGUUGGUUUAGCUACAUAGGAUUUGGAAGCAACUGUUAUUCGCACGCUUUUGUUUUUGAUAAUGCAUCGUGCAUUUGCUUUCAAACUUCUCUCCUUUCUUUUGUUUUUGAUAAUGUAUCUUGUAUUUGCUUUCGAACUUCUCUCUUUUGUGGGAAUUGAUAAUGUUGAGUUGUCUGAUA